CAUGUUAGUCGAGGGUGCUUCUUCUUCGGAAGAAGUAACCCGGCGGACGGCUCAGUAACACGUGGAUAACUUGCCCUUGGGUCUGGGAUAACCCCUGAGAAAUUGGGGACAAUACCGGAUAGGGCAUCGAUAGCUGGAAUGCGCGAUGUCCAAAAGCUGAGGCGCCCAAGGAUAGGUCUGCGGCCGAUUAGGUUGUUGUUGUUGAUGUAAUGGAUCAACAAGCCUGCAAUCGGUACGGGUUGUGAGAGCAAGAGCCCGGAGAUGGGUUCUGAGAAAAGAGCCCAGGUCCUACGGGACGCAUCAGGCGCGAAAACUUUACAAUGUGCGAAAGCACGAUAAGGGAACUCUGAGUGCCUCCUAUGGAGGCUGUUCAGGUGUCUAAAAAGCACUUGAAGUAAGGGCUGGGUAAGACCGGUGCCAGCCGCCGCGGUAACACCGGCAGCCCAAGUGGUAGCCACGAUUAUUGGGUCUAAAGCGUCCGUAGCCGGCCAGGUAAGUUCUUUGGGAAAUUUAACCGCUCAACGGUUAAGCUUUCAGGGAAUACUGCUUGGCUUGGGACCGGGAGAGGUCAGAGGUACUUCAAGGGUAGGGGUGAAAUCCGUUAAUCCUUGAGGGACCACCAGUAGCGAAGGCGUCUGACCAGACCGGGUCCGACGGUGAGGGACGAAGGCUAGGGUCGCGAACCGGAUUAGAUACCCGGGUAGUCCUAGCUGUAAACGAUGCGGGCCAGGUGUUGGCAUUACUGCGAGUGAUGUCAGUGCCGAAGGGGAGCCGUUAAGCCCGCCAUCUGGGGAGCACGGUCGCAAGGCUGAAACUUAAAGGAAUUGGCGGGGGAGCACCACAACGGGUGGAGCCUGCGGUUCAAUUGGAUCAACGCCGGA
rnacentral:rRNA from 1 species